AUGUGAGAUGUAUCACUACGCCAAAAGUGGCAACUGGUGGCGACCACAUACCAGCGGUCUUCGAAAAUGCCGCUAAAAUAUUAGAUUGCAGCUGUCUUGGUGACGAUUUGAGAUAGGGCUACUAAAUCAAACAAUUUGGCUGUGGUUCAAGGGCAAAAUGUUGCACACACAAAAUCUCCAAUCUCCAAUUCGAAUUAAAAAGGGAAACCGCUCCCUCAGUGAUUCAAGAAAAAGUGAAAAACACAAAACCCCACAUUCGCGGUUUCUAUCCCUGUCCAUGUCCCUUUCACGGCUGCGGGUGUGGUCGCGGCAGUCGGAGUCAGCGGAGGGUUUGGAAUCGGCUGCGAAAUCGGAGGAAGGUCGAUUAUGAGAAAGGAUCUGCUCUUGGCGGUGCUUCUGUUUGGCGAUUUCCUCCUGGUGACGCUUCUAUUUAGCGAUUUCCUCCCAGCGGCACUGGAGUGCUAAUUGCUCGCGAUGGGUUUUGGUAAGGAAGACGGGCUUGGAUGGUGCGGCAGAGUUGGUGGCGACGGCGGGGGGUAAGGUGACGUCAUCGAUUGAGGGUUUCAUGGCAGUUGGCUAUGCUCCUAUGAAGUAACAGAAAAAAGGAAAAGGGAUCGCUUGGUUAAUUGCAGGUGGGGACAAGAGAACACACCACAAGACAAGAGUAACUCAACAUCAAGGAUCAAAGCAAACAAUUUGGCUGUGAACUUUUCUUUAAAUUACCUGCUCACCAGGAGAUUGUGAAGAAACUAGUCAGUUUGAUUGAAAAUUAUAUCUGUCAUGGAGGUUGAUUUAUGGCACAAAAUAUAUUUGAAUUUUUUUAAUGAUAUUACUUUUGCUGGUCACAUGAAAUAUAUUAUUUUAAUCUUAAGAAGAUAUUUGUCUGAUUGUCACAAUGGGAUUAGUAUAGAUUGGUAGAAUUAAUGGAAGGGGUUUGGAAUGAAACCUAAACAUGUUUGAAUGAAUGCUGAUACGGGACUUUUUAUUCAAUCAAUAUUUGUUCUCUUGUAAAGGAACAUCUUUUUGAAGUAGGAAUGGAAGAUAUCAAUUGUCGUCUCUUCAUUUUAUAUGAUUACAAGUUAUGAUUCAUGGUCAUGGAUACUUCAAUGUUGCUAUGUGUACCUAUACUAAUAUUUGUAUUAUGCUCUGCAGAUUUUAUUUGUUUUUAUUUCUCUUAAAGGUUUCAUAUUUAUUAGUACUUCUGAAGAAAUAGUCCAGGUUGGAACAAUAUCAGCAAAUGGGAAGAGAGAAAUUGGUGAGUUAAUUGCAAAAGCUAUGAAGAAAGUUGACAAAGAGCGUGUAAUCACAAUUUCAUUGAGAAACUUAGUAUGGGCUACUUCAAAACACGAUGUCUACCUUAUCUCCAAUUACUUGGUCAUGCAUUGGUCAUCAUUAAGUGACAAUUUGUCGGAGAUAAUAAAUUUUGCUGGACACAUAGCCCCAAGUGAGGAUUUUGAAGACGCAAAGGAUCUGGCUUCAAAACUUCUUACAUUGCAAUAAUUGAUGCUUUACUAAAAUGUGGCUUAGUUAAGGGUGACAACUGCUCUUGUAGUAUAUGCUAACUAGAGCUUUGAAGGAAUCAAGGGAAGGGGAUGGGAUUGGACUGGUGUAAUCUAUCUAUUGUUUAUUUAGUGUUUCUUUAUGUUAAUAUCUCAAGUUUAAUAAAUCUGAUGUAAAGAAAAUAUGUUAUAGUAAAGAGAAAUGGUAUAAACCAUUUUAGUAGUUAAUUAGCUUUUUUC